rnacentral:rRNA from 1 species
GAUGAACGCUAGCGGCAGGCUUAAUACAUGCGAGUCGUGGGGCAGCAGGACGGUAGCAAUACCGUUGCUGGCGACCGGCAAACGGGUGCGGAACACGUACACAACCUUCCUUUAAGUGGGGAAUAGCCCAGAGAAAUUUGGAUUAAUACCCCGUAACAUGGUGAAAAGGCAUCUUUUUAUCAUUAUAGCAGCAAUGCGCUUAAUGAUGGGUGUGCGGCUGAUUAGGUGGUUGGCGGGGUAACGGCCCACCAAGCCUUCGAUCAGUAACUGGUGUGAGAGCACGACCAGUCACACGGGCACUGAGACACGGGCCCGACUCCUACGGGAGGCAGCAGUAAGGAAUAUUGGGCAAUGGAGGCAACUCUGACCCAGCCAUGCCGCGUGGAGGAUGAAGGUCCUCUGGAUUGUAAACUUCUUUUAUAUGGGACGAAAAAAGGGUUUUCUAACUCGACUGACGGUACCAUAUGAAUAAGCACCGACUAACUCCGUGCCAGCAGCCGCCGUAAUAC